GGCGCCUUGGGCCCACGGGGCCCGGCUGCAGGUGCGCGGGCUCGGCUCCCUCCGCCCUUUGACCGCAGACCCGGGUCGCCAUCCCUGGGGUAGUGUCGAGAGGAUCCAGGCCCCGGACGCGCUUCAGACCUGCCUGCCGCCCUGCGCCCCGGCACCGGAGGCCGAACCCUGAAAGGCACAGAACUAGAGCGUCGUGGAGGAGCCGGGGAGGGUGCGGGGAGAGUUAUUCACAGUGAAAAGACCGUGUUUCCAGCGCUGCUUUGAAAGUAAAUCCUCGGGCGAGCUGCGGCUCCGUGCGAAAUGAGAAGCCGUUUGCAGAUGUCUACACUCGCGCUCAGAAGCUCUCGCGUGUUGCUGUUCAGAGGUGCAGACACCGAGCUUUCCCCACCCCUACCAGGCCCGCGGGGUCCAAAGAGGUCAGAGAGAGGGCUGCAAAUUUUCCUGCACGGAAAACAUGUAGACCCCGACGGAAACGCCCUAAAACAACAUAACAAAUUAAAAUAUCUUCUCCACACACA